rnacentral:rRNA from 1 species
GACGAACGCUGGCGGCGUGCCUAACACAUGCAAGUCGAGCGAUGAAGCACCUUCGGGUGUGAAUUAGCAGCGAACGGGUGAGGAACACGUGAGAAAUCUGCCUUCAACACUGGGAUAACUCCGGGAAACCGGGGCUAAUACCGGAUAUGAAACCUGCGGGCAUCCGCGGGUUUGGAAAGUUCUUCGGUUGAAGAUGAUCUCGCGGCCUAUCAGCUUGUUGGGGAGGUAAUGGCUCACCAAGGCGACGACGGGUAGCCGGCCUGGGAGGGCGACCGGCCACAAGGGGACUGAGGGACGGACCAGACUGCUACUGGAGGCAGCGGGGGGGAAUAUUGGGCAAUGGAGGAAACUCUGACCCAGCGACGCCGGGUGCGGGAUGAAGGCCUUCGGGUUGUAAACCGCUUUCAGCAGGGAAGAAGCGAAAGUGACGGUACCUGCAGAAGAAGCACCGGCUAACUAUGUGCCAGCCGCCGCUGUAA